rnacentral:rRNA from 1 species
CCUACGGGAGGCAGCAGUAGGGAAUAUUGGACAAUGGGCGCAAGCCUGAUCCAGCCAUCCCGCGUGAAGGAUUAAGGCCCUCUGGGUUGUAAACUUCUUUUCUCUGGGAAUAAAAAGCGGGAUUCUUCCUGCCUUGAAGGUACCAGAGGAAUAAGCACCGGCUAACUCCGUGCCAGCAGCCGCGGUAAUACGGAGGGUGCAAGCGUUAUCCGGAUUCACUGGGUUUAAAGGGAGCGUAGGUGGCUUUGUAAGUCAGUGGUGAAAUGCCGCAGCUCAACUGCGGAACUGCCAUUGAUACUGCUUAGCUUGAAUCACGUCGAGGUGGAUGGAAUAAUACAUGUAGCGGUGAAAUGCUUAGAUAUGUAUUAGAACACCGAUUGCGAAGGCAGUUCACUAGGCGUGUAUUGACACUGAGGCUCGAAAGCGUGGGGAUCAAACAGGAUUAGAUACCCUGGUAGUCCACGCCCUAAACGAUGUAAACUCGACAUUAGCGAUAUACUGUUAGUGUCCAAGCGAAAGCGUUAAGUUUACCACCUGGGGAGUACGACCGCAAGGUUGAACUCAAAGGAUUGAGNGNGAGAGNGCGAGACGACACGAGGGAGGAGG